GAUGAACGCUGGCGGCGUGCCUAAUACAUGCAAGUCGAGCGAACAGACGAGGAGCUUGCUCCUCUGACGUUAGCGGCGGACGGGUGAGUAACACGUGGAUAACCUACCUAUAAGACUGGGAUAACUUCGGGAAACCGGAGCUAAUACCGGAUAAUAUAUUGAACCGCAUGGUUCAAUAGUGAAAGACGGUUUUGCUGUCACUUAUAGAUGGAUCCGCGCCGCUUUAGCUAGUUGGUAAGGUAACGGCUUACCAAGGCGACGAUGCGUAACCGACCUGAGAGGGGGAUCGGCCACACUGGAACUGAACCAGGGUCCAGACGCCUACGGGAGGCAGCAGUAGGGAAUCUGCCGCAAUGGGCGAGAGCCUGACGGAGCAACGCCGCGUGAGUGAUGAAGGUCUUCGGAGCGUAAAACUCGGUUAUUAGGGAAGAACAAAUGUGUAAGUAACUAUGCACGUCUUGACGGUACCGAAUCAGAAAGCCACGGCUAACUACGUG
rnacentral:rRNA from 1 species